GGGUCUGGCUGGCCGGUCCGCCUCACCGCGAGUACUGGUCCGGCUGGACCUUUCCUUCUGGGGAAUCUCAUGGCCUUCACUGGCUGUGGGGGGAACCAGGACUUUUACUGUGAAAAAAUUAGAGUGUUCAAAGCAGGCCUUUGCUCGAAUACAUUAGCAUGGAAUAAUAGAAUAGGACGUGCGGUUCUAUUUUGUUGGUUUCUAGGACCGCCGUAAUGAUUAAUAGGGAUAGUCAGGGGCGUCAGUAUUCAGCUGUCAGAGGUGAAAUUCUUGGAUUUGCUGAAGACUAACUACUGCGAAAGCAUUCGCCAAGGAUGUUUUCAUUAAUCACGGAACGAAAGUUAGGGGAUCGAAGACGAUCAGAUACCGCCGUAGUCUUAACCAUAAACUAUGCCGACUAGGGAUCGGACGGUGUUUCUAUUAUGACCCGUUCGGCACCUUACGAGAAAUCAAAGUUUUUGGGUUCUGCGGGGAGUAUGGUC
rnacentral:rRNA from 1 species